rnacentral:rRNA from 1 species
GAUGAACGCUGACAGAAUGCUUAACACAUGCAAGUCGAUGGGGAAGUGGUGCUUGCACCAUGGCAACCAUGGCGGACGGGUGAGUAACGCGUAAGGGACUUACCUGCAGGACUGGGAUAACAGGGGGAAACUCCUGACAAGACCGGAUAAUGUCAUGGAGCUGCAUGGCUUUAUGAUGAAAGGAGACGCCUGCGGAGAGCCUUGCGUCCUAUUAGCUGGUUGGUGAGGUAAUGGCUCACCAAGGCGAAGAUAGGUAGCCGGCCUGAGAGGGUGGACGGCCACAAGGGGACUGAGAUACGGCCCUUACUCCUACGGGAGGCAGCAGUGGGGAAUAUUGGACAAUGGGGGCAACCCUGAUCCAGCAAUUCUGUGUGCACGAAGAAGGUUUUCGGAUUGUAAAGUGCUUUCAGCAGGGAAGAAGUAAGUGACGGUACCUGCAGAAGAAGCGACGGCUAAAUACGUG